ensembl:lincRNA
UUAUAAAGAAAGGUUUACUUAGUUCACAGUUCUGGAGGUUUGAAUUCCAUAAUUGGGUAACUCUGUUCAGGCUUCGUAACUCAUGGCAUCACAAUGGUGGGAACCUGUGUAGAAGUGAUCAUAUGGUGGGGAGUGGCUAUUGUUGCUCUUUUUAUUACAACUCACUCUGGUGAGAACUUGUCCCAUAAGAAAAGCAUUAGUCUUAUGCAAGAGUAAAGCUCUCAUUGACCUAAUUACCACUCACCAGGCCACAUCAUUUAUAAGUUGCCAUAUCCUUGCCUGAACACUCUCAUACUGGGAACACUGUCACACAUGUGGACUUUGGGGAGACCAGCCAUAUGUGCAUCAUAGUAGACAAUUUCCUGAGACAGAGGGCACAAUGGAGAUCAACAGUUUAUGGAGCUGAUUCUUGUAAGCAUGAUGAACACAUAUAUGGAGAAGACGUAGAAAAUUUUGAGAGCCCACAAACUCCAGGAAAGUCAUCACCGUUGAUCAUCUGGGCCUUUUG